rnacentral:rRNA from 1 species
UACGUAGGGUGCGAGCGUUGUCCGGAAUUAUUGGGCGUAAAGGGCUCGUAGGUGGUCUGUUGCGUCGGGAGUGAAAACUCAGGGCUUAACCCUGAGCCUGCUUCCGAUACGGGCAGACUAGAGGUAUGCAGGGGAGAACGGAAUUCCUGGUGUAGCGGUGAAAUGCGCAGAUAUCAGGAGGAACACCGGUGGCGAAGGCGGUUCUCUGGGCAUUACCUGACGCUGAGGAGCGAAAGUGUGGGGAGCGAACAGG